ACGCACGCUGGCGGCGUGCUUCACACAUGCAAGUCGAACGGAAAGGCCCUGCUUUUGUGGGGUGCUCGAGUGGCGAGCGGGUGAGUAACACGUGAGUAACCUGCCCUUGACUUUGGGAUAACUUCAGGAAACUGGGGCUAAUACCGGAUAGGAGCUCCUGCUGCAUGGUGGGGGUUGGAAAGUUUCGGCGGUUGGGGAUGGACUCGCGGCUUAUCAGCUUGUUGGUGGGGUAGUGGCUUACCAAGGCUUUGACGGGUAGCCGGCCUGAGAGGGUGACCGGCCACAUUGGGACUGAGAUACGGCCCAGACUCCUACGGGAGGCAGCAGUGGGGAAUAUUGCACAAUGGGCGGAAGCCUGAUGCAGCAACGCCGCGUGCGGGAUGACGGCCUUCGGGUUGUAAACCGCUUUCGCCUGUGACGAAGCGUGAGUGACGGUAAUGGGUAAAGAAGCACCGGCUAACUACGUG
rnacentral:rRNA from 1 species